GGGUGCUAUCAAACUAGCAUUAAUGCACCCGAUCACAUCAGAAAUGCUUGGGCGAGAGUAGUACUAGGAUGCGUGACCUUCUGGGAAGUCCUUGUGUUGCAUCCC
rnacentral:rRNA from 1 species